rnacentral:rRNA from 1 species
CGCCAGACUCCUACGGGAGGCAGCAGUGAGGAAUAUUGGUCAAUGGGCGGAAGCCUGAACCAGCCAAGUCGCGUGAGGGAAGAAGGCCCUGCGGGUCGCAGACCUCUUUGGACGGGGAGCAAGGCCGCCGACGUGUCGGCGGAAGGAGAGUACCCGUAGAACAAGCAUCGGCUAACUCCGUGCCAGCAGCCGCGGUAAUACGUAGGGGGCGAGCGUUAUCCGGAUUCAUUGGGCGUAAAGCGCGCGUAGGCGGCCGCCUAAGCGGGACCUCUAACCCCGGGGCUCAACCCCGGGCCGGGUCCCGGACUGGGCGGCUCGAGUGCGGUAGAGGAGAGCGGAAUUCCCGGUGUAGCGGUGGAAUGCGCAGAUAUCGGGAAGAACACCGAUGGCGAAGGCAGCUCUCUGGGCCGUCACUGACGCUGAGGCGCGAAAGCUGGGGGAGCGAACAGGAUUAGAUACCCCCGUAAC